rnacentral:rRNA from 1 species
GACGAACGCUGGCGGCGUGCCUAAUACAUGCAAGUUGAGCACUGAAGGUUGGUACUUGUACCGACUGGAUGAGCAGCGAACGGGUGAGUAACGCGUGGGGAAUCUGCCUUUGAGCGGGGGACAACAUUUGGAAACGAAUGCUAAUACCGCAUAAAAACUUUAAACACAAGUUUUAAGUUUGAAAGAUGCAAUUGCAUCACUCAAAGAUGAUCCCGCGUUGUAUUAGCUAGUUGGUGAGGUAAAGGCUCACCAAGGCGAUGAUACAUAGCCGACCUGAGAGGGUGAUCGGCCACAUUGGGACUGAGACACGGCCCAAACUCCUACGGGAGGCAGCAGUAGGGAAUCUUCGGCAAUGGACGAAAGUCUGACCGAGCAACGCCGCGUGAGUGAAGAAGGUUUUCGGAUCGUAAAACUCUGUUGGUAGAGAAGAACGUUGGUGAGAGUGGAAAGCUCAUCAAGUGACGGUAACUACCCAGAAAGGGACGGCUAACUACGUG